CCUACGGGUGGCAGCAGUAGGGAAUAUUGCGCAAUGGGCGAAACCCUGAAGCAGCAACGCCGCGUGGAGGAUGAAGGUUUUCGGAUUGUAAACUCCUUUUGUGAGAGAAGAGGAUGAGGGUAUCCAACGAAUAAGCACCACCUAACUCUGUGUCAGAGGCCGCGGUAAUACGGAGGGGGCAAGCGUUAAUCGGAUUCACUGGGCGUAAAGGGCGCGUAGGCGGGCUAGCAAGUCAGAUGUGAAAUCCUCGGGCUUAACCAUAGAACUGCAUUUGAAACUGUAAUUCUAGAGUAUGGGAGAGGUAGGUGGAAUUCCUGGUGUAGGGGUAAAAUGCGUAGAGAUCAAGAAGAAUACUCAUGGCGAAGGCGAACUGCUAGAACAUAACUGACGCUGAUGCGCGAAAGCGUGGGGAGCAAACAGGAUUAGAUACCCUGGUAGUC
rnacentral:rRNA from 1 species